AUGCUGAACUGGCCCCUUGAGGCCAUGAGGGCCUGGCUGGGAUUCAUGUGGAGGGCUGACAGCUGCCUCCCUUGGCGCUUGUUUUGGAAACUGGCCCCAGCCCUACUUUUGGGGUCAUCAGGUCUCAGUGAGGUCUGCCCCUCCUGCCACACCCCUCCACCUUGUGUGCCAGGGUGGGUCCCUGAGAGAACAGAGUGGCCCAAGGAGCAGCCCUGCUUACUUGCCCCUGCACGACCCUGGGGAUCCUGGCCUGCAGGCACAGCACAGCCAGUCUGUGCUGGGGAGACCGGGACUGGGGGCGCCCCCAGGAGGGCGGUUCCCUGGGGCGCCCUCGCACAGCUGCACACUGCAGCUGCAGGCGGGGCUGGGGGUCUCCCAGGAGGGCGGGUCCCUGGGGCAGCCUCGCACAGCGGCACACUGCAGCUGCAGGCGGGGCUGGGGGGCCCCCAGGAGGGCAGGUCCCUGGGCCAUCCUCACACAGCGGCACACUGCAGCUGCAGGCGGGGCUGGGGGGCUGGGGCAUCCCGACCUAGCUGCCCGGUGCUGCCGCAGGCCAUGCUGGGCGGCCCCGGAAACGAGGGGUCCGCGGGCUUCCCGAGCACUCCAGGACCGCGGCCCCGAGAGACGCGGCCAGACCGGCCGUCAGGUGGGCAGCACCGCCGGGCCGUCGGGACCGCGAGCCGAGCGCUCAGCCGGAACCCGGCCCCCCCCACCCCCUCCCCCUCCCCCUCCCCCGACCCACGAGCGGGCGGCCCGCACUUCCGGCCUGACCGGAAGCACCCGGCGACGAUGCCGCGUGCGACGAUGCACUUCCGGCCUGAGGCGGCCGCUGUGCUCGCGACUUCCAGCAGGCGGCGCUGGGGCCCCGGGAACGCGGCGCUGGCCGUUAGUCCUGGAGCAUUCUGGGAGUCGCAGUGCUGCCUCUUCCUCCUCCCUCCUUUCCCUCCUCAAUUCCGGCUCUUUGCGCGAAGGAGAGCCGACGUUUCCGGGGAGGGGGGAGGCUAG
rnacentral:lncRNA from 1 species